GAUCAUGGCUCAGAUUGAACGCUAGCGGGAUGCCUUACACAUGCAAGUCGAACGGCAGCACGGACUUCGGUCUGGUGGCGAGUGGCGAACGGGUGAGUAAUGUAUCGGAACGUGCCCAGUAGCGGGGGAUAACUACGCGAAAGCGUAGCUAAUACCGCAUACGCCCUACGGGGAAAGGCAGGGGAUCGCAAGACCUUGCACUAUUGGAGCGGCCGAUAUCGGAUUAGCUAGUUGGUGGGGUAACGG
rnacentral:rRNA from 1 species